rnacentral:rRNA from 1 species
CCCUUAGAUGUCCUGGGCCGCACGCGCGCUACACUGAGUGUCUGAGAUACGAGUCUGCCUGGUCCGGCAAGGUCUAGGUAAUCGCUAAAAGACACAUCAUGCUUGGGAUAGAUUAUAGCAAAUAUUAAUCUUGAACGAGGAAUUCCUAGUAAGCGCAAGUCAACAGCUUGCGUUGAUUACGUCCCUGCCCUUUGUACACACCGCCCGUCGCUACUACUGAUUGGAUGUUUAAGCGAGGUUCUCGAACUGCUAGCGACUUAGCUUCGGUGAGGUCGCAGUGUGGGAAGUGAACCUAGCUUUGGUGUCUAGAGGAAGUAAAAGUCGUAACA